ACCCUAGAAUAUCUUUACUGUAGAAGGGGAUGAGUCUGCUUGAGCUGAACGAAUAACGGGAUCCUAUAGUCGAGCUCGAACUGGGUGGGAAAAGGGGGCAGCGUAGCGCAGUACCUUCAGGAACAAAACCCCAGACACUGUCUUCCCUGUGUUGCUCGCUUUCUAGGUCUCUAGUUGCGUGCUCACUUCAACUCUUGCCUCUCUGCAGUAUUUGUGUCCUCUCACCAUGGAUAUUGAGGAGGACAUCCGUUCUCUACAGCUUGAUUCAUCAGAAGACAAUAACGGUGUUGUUAAUCCGGAGGAUGCAAAACCAGAAGAAGUUGAUAAUUCCGCUAAGAUGGAUGAAGGUCUAAAUCAGGAAGUAAAGGCACAGCCUGUCCAGGCUGAUCCUAAAGAUAAGGAAGUUCCUUCAGUGGAGGAUCAAGAGGAUGAGAAGACAGACAAGAAAAGACACUUGAAUGUUGUGUUCAUUGGUCAUGUUGAUGCUGGUAAGUCUACAACUGGUGGCCAGAUACUCUUCCUAAGUGGUCAGGUUGAUGAACGCACCAUCCAAAAAUAUGAAAAAGAAGCAAAGGACAAAAGUAGAGAAAGCUGGUAUAUGGCUUACAUAAUGGACACUAAUGAAGAGGAGAGGGUUAAGGGCAAAACGGUUGAAGUUGGGAGAGCGCAUUUUGAGACAGAAAAAUCAAGGUUUACAAUUUUGGAUGCACCUGGUCACAAAAGCUAUGUCCCCAACAUGAUUAGUGGUGCGGCUCAAGCUGAUAUUGGAGUUUUGGUAAUUUCUGCUCGAAAGGGAGAAUUUGAAACUGGAUAUGAGAGAGGUGGACAAACCCGUGAACAUGUCCAGCUUGCAAAAACAUUGGGGGUGUCUAAGCUGGUUGUUGUGGUUAAUAAGAUGGAUGAACCUACUGUGAAGUGGUCCAAAGAGAGGUAUGAUGAAAUUGAGUCAAAGAUGAUUCCUUUUCUUAGGUCAUCAGGCUACAAUGUGAAGAAAGAUGUCCUGUUUUUACCAUUAUCUGGCCUGACUGGUGCAAACAUGAAAACAAGAUUGGAUAAAAGCACUUGUCCUUGGUGGGAUGGCCCCUGCCUAUUUGAAGUCCUUGAUAGUGUUGACACUCCACCUCGAGAUCCCAAAGGCCCUUUAAGGAUGCCUAUACUUGACAAAUUCAAAGACAUGGGUACUGUUGUUAUGGGAAAAGUGGAAUCUGGUACUGUCCGUGAAGGGGAUUCCUUGUUGGUUAUGCCCAAUAAGGACCUUGUGAAAGUUGUUGCUGUGUUCAUCGAUGACGAUAGGGUUAAACGUGCUGGACCUGGUGAGAAUAUACGGGUUAGAAUAUCUGGUGCUGAAGAAGAAGACAUAGCAAGCGGGUUCAUUCUGUCUAGUGUUGAAAAUCCAAUACCAGCUGCUACAGAGUUUGUGGCUCAGCUGCAGAUCCUUGAAUUGCUGGACAAUGCUAUUUUUACUGCUGGGUACAAGGCUGUUUUGCACAUCCACUGUGUUGUUGAAGAAUGUGAGAUUGUUGAGCUCCUACAGCAAAUUGAUCCAAAGACAAAGAAACCAAUGAAAAAGAAACCUCUCUUUGUGAAGAAUGGUGCAGUUGUUGUCUGCCGAAUUCAGGUUAAUAAUAUGAUAUGCAUUGAGAAAUUCGCUGAUUUGCCCCAACUUGGGAGGUUUACUCUUCGCACAGAAGGAAAAACUGUUGCAGUGGGAAAAGUCACUGGCUUUUAAUUUUGAAACAAUUUUGACUUGAGGUAUUAGGGCUCGAUUUCUGACUCAAGGGUGUAAAACUGGUUUUUUAAUCGUCGGUGCUUGUCCAGUGUGGACAGGAAGUAAAUGUUGCAUUGGUAAACUGAGGAGGUAUUGAGGCAUAAUUGAGAGCGACGAUUUGGAGAUGUUCUUAAUUUUGGGAUUUGAAAUUUGGUUGUACUUAGUGAUAAGUAGUUGGGAGUAAUUGACGGUGGCAUGGGCACGCAUGUAUGUUUAUGAGGUGAUUCCAGGCAUGGUUACUCCAGUAUUGUGCGGGUGAUAGCCUUCUUGAAUCACCCAUUCAUGUUCCAAAUCCAAAUAUAAAUCAAUUUGAAUGGACGGGUUUUAUACCCGUUGUAGCGGUAUUAUUUUAGACA